GAUGAACGCUGGCGGCGUGCCUAAUACAUGCAAGUCGAGCGAACGGACGAGAAGCUUGCUUCUCUGAUGUUAGCGGCGGACGGGUGAGUAACACGUGGAUAACCUACCUAUAAGACUGGGAUAACUUCGGGAAACCGGAGCUAAUACCGGAUAAUAUUUUGAACCGCAUGGUUCAAAAGUGAAAGACGGUCUUGCUGUCACUUAUAGAUGGAUCCGCGCUGCAUUAGCUAGUUGGUAAGGUAACGGCUUACCAAGGCAACGAUGCAUAGCCGACCUGAGAGGGUGAUCGGCCACACUGGAACUGAGACACGGUCCAGACUCCUACGGGAGGCAGCAGUAGGGAAUCUUCCGCAAUGGGCGAAAGCCUGACGGAGCAACGCCGCGUGAGUGAUGAAGGUCUUCGGAUCGUAAAACUCUGUUAUUAGGGAAGAACAUAUGUGUAAGUAACUGUGCACAUCUUGACGGUACCUAAUCAGAAAGCCACGGCUAACUACGUGCCAGCAGCCGCGGUAAUACGUAGGUGGCAAGCGUUAUCCGGAAUUAUUGGGCGUAAAGCGCGCGUAGGCGGUUUUUUAAGUCUGAUGUGAAAGCCCACGGCUCAACCGUGGAGGGUCAUUGGAAACUGGAAAACUUGAGUGCAGAAGAGGAAAGUGGAAUUCCAUGUGUAGCGGUGAAAUGCGCAGAGAUAUGGAGGAACACCAGUGGCGAAGGCGACUUUCUGGUCUGUAACUGACGCUGAUGUGCGAAAGCGUGGGGAUCAAACAGGAUUAGAUACCCUGGUAGUCCACGCCGUAAACGAUGAGUGCUAAGUGUUAGGGGGUUUCCGCCCCUUAGUGCUGCAGCUAACGCAUUAAGCACUCCGCCUGGGGAGUACGACCGCAAGGUUGAAACUCAAAGGAAUUGACGGGGACCCGCACAAGCGGUGGGGCAUGUGGUUUAAUUCGAAGCAACGCGAAGAACCUUACCAAAUCUUGACAUCCUUUGACAACUCUAGAGAUAGAGCCUUCCCCUUCGGGGGACAAAGUGACAGGUGGUGCAUGGUUGUCGUCAGCUCGUGUCGUGAGAUGUUGGGUUAAGUCCCGCAACGAGCGCAACCCUUAAGCUUAGUUGCCAUCAUUAAGUUGGGCACUCUAAGUUGACUGCCGGUGACAAACCGGAGGAAGGUGGGGAUGACGUCAAAUCAUCAUGCCCCUUAUGAUUUGGGCUACACACGUGCUACAAUGGACAAUACAAAGGGCAGCGAAACCGCGAGGUCAAGCAAAUCCCAUAAAGUUGUUCUCAGUUCGGAUUGUAGUCUGCAACUCGAUUACAUGAAGCUGGAAUCGCUAGUAAUCGUAGAUCAGCAUGCUACGGUGAAUACGUUCCCGGGUCU
rnacentral:rRNA from 1 species